rnacentral:rRNA from 1 species
GGAGGAAAAGAAACCAACAGGGAUUGCCUUAGUAGCGGCGAGUGAAGCGGCAAAAGCUCAAAUUUGAAAUCUGGCGCCUUCGGUGUCCGAGUUGUAAUUUGAAGAUUGUAACCUUGGGGUUGGCUCUUGUCUAUGUUUCUUGGAACAGGACGUCACAGAGGGUGAGAAUCCCGUGCGAUGAGAUGCCCAAUUCUAUGUAAGGUGCUUUCGAAGAGUCGAGUUGUUUGGGAAUGCAGCUCUAAGUGGGUGGUAAAUUCCAUCUAAAGCUAAAUAUUGGCGAGAGACCGAUAGCGAACAAGUACAGUGAUGGAAAGAUGAAAAGAACUUUGAAAAGAGAGUGAAAAAGUACGUGAAAUUGUUGAAAGGGAAGGGUUUGAGAUCAGACUCGAUAUUUUGUGAGCCUUGCCUUCGUGGCGGGGUGACCCGCAGCUUAUCGGGCCAGCAUCGGUUUGGGCGGUAGGAUAAUGGCGUAGGAAUGUGACUUUACUUCGGUGAAGUGUUAUAGCCUGCGUUGAUGCUGCCUGCCUAGACCGAGGACUGCGAUUUUAUCAAGGAUGCUGGCAUAAUGAUCCCAAACCGCCCG